rnacentral:rRNA from 1 species
UAGAGAAAGGAGAAGUCGUAACAAGGUUUUCAUAGGUGAAUCUAUGGAAGGAUCAUUGUCGAAACCUAUAAAGCAGACCCACAAACUCAUUCCAUAACACACGUGGGAGGACGACGGUUAUUCGUGUGUCGAUCAGGAGACGAACUGGGAACGGCUACUUCGAGGACCUUUCUUAGGUGUCAACCAGUCGACUCAGAACUAGUAUGGACAAGGAAAAUUCAACUGUUUAAUUAAAACAAAGCAUUGCAAUGGUUCCCGUGAAUGCUCACGCAAUGUGAUUUUUGCCCAGUGCUCUGAAUGUUAAAGUGAAGAAAUUCAACCAAGCGCAGGUAAACGACUGGAGUAACUAUGACUCUCUUAAGGUAGCCAAAUGCCUCAUCAUCUAAUUAGUGAUGCACAUAACUGGAUUAAAAAGAUUCCCACUAUCCCUAUCUACUAUCUAGUGAAACCACAGCCAAGGGAACGAGCUUGGCAGAAUCAGCAUGGAAAGAAGACCCUAUUGAGCUUAACUCUAGUCCGACUUUGUGAAAUGACUUCAGAGGUGUAGGAUAAGUGGGAGCCAAAAGGCGAAAGUAAAAUACUACCUCUUUUAACAGUAUUUUACUUAUUUCGUAAAUCGGAGACGGGGCACUACCCCUCUUUUUAGACCCAAGGCUCACUUCGCGGGCUGAUCCGAGCUAAAGACAUUGUCGAUGAGGAGUUUCGCUGAGAUGGCACAUCUGUUAAAAGAUAAUGCAGGUGUCCUAAGAUGAGCUCAACAAGAACAAAAAUUUCGUGUGGAACAGAAGAGUAAAAGCUCGUUUGAUUCUGAUUUAUAGUGCAAAUACGAACCUUGAAAGCGUGGCCUAACGAUCCUUCAGACCUUUGAAAUUUGAAGCUAGAGGUGUCAAAAAAGUUACCACAGGGAUAACUAGUUUGUGGCAGCCAAGCGUUCAUAACAACGUUGCUUUUUUAUACUUCGAUGUCGACUCUUCCUAUCAUUGUAAAGCAAAUUCACGAAGUGUCGGAUUUUUCACCCACCAAUAGGAAAUGUGAGCUGGAUUAUGACUAAAUGUCGACAGGCUAGUUUUAUCCUAUUGAUGAUAGUGUCAUCGUAGUAAUUCAACCUAGUACGAGAGAAACCAUUGAUUCACACAAUUUGUCAUCGCGCUAGGUUGAAAAGCCAGUGGCGUGAAGCUACCAUGCGUUGGAUUAUGACUGAAUGACUCUAAGUUGGAAUUUGGGCUAGAAGUGAUGCGUGCAUCCGCCAUUCACUUGCUGACCCGCGGUAGGGGCCUCACGGCCCCAGGGGCACAUGUCGUUGGCAAAGCCCUUACAGCGGACGUGCUGCGUCGGCCGCCUUGAAGUACAAUCUCCAUCGAGCUGUGGGCAGAAUCCUUUGCAGACGACUUAAAUAUGUGACGGGGUAUUGUAAGCGACAGAGUGCCCUUGCUACCCAGAAUUGCCUGAAAAUGAGGUUGCGUCCUCGUCGUGGCCC